rnacentral:tRNA from 1 species
GGGUCAUCGCCGGAGUAGGAGCGCCGGAGCGGGCUGUAACCCCGUGGCCGAGAGGCUAGUAGGUUCGAUUCCUACAUGACCCACCA